ACGAGGGGGGCGAGCGUUGUUCGGAAUUAUUGGGCGUAAAGCGUGCGCAGGCGGUUCGUUGUGUCGGCGGUGAAAGCCCCGGGCUUAACCUGGGAAUGGCCGUUGAAACUGGCGAACUGGAGUGUGGCAGAGGGGGGUGGAAUUCCGCGUGUAGCAGUGAAAUGCGUAGAGAUGUGGAGGAACACCAGUGGCGAAGGCGACUUUCUGGUCUGUAACUGACGCUGAGGCGCGAAAGCGUGGGGAGCAAACAGGA
rnacentral:rRNA from 1 species